UCCCUGGUGGCUUGGACAGUAAAGAAUCUGCCUGCAAUGCAGGAGACCCAGGUUUGAUCCCUGGAUGGGGAA
rnacentral:tRNA from 1 species